rnacentral:tRNA from 1 species
AAGGAUUUAAGUUAAAAAAUAAACUUGUAGUCUUCAAAACUACGAAUAAAGAAGGAGCCUUUAAGCCUUA